rfam:Schistosoma curassoni strain Dakar, Senegal genome assembly, scaffold: SCTD_scaffold0002186
AUCCAUCUGACGAGUCCCAAAUAGGACGAAACGCGCGUCCCGGAU